UAGCUGAAAAACAAUAUUCCAGCUGAAGUGUAAUUUUAAUCAUCUCUUGAGUGGUUGAAAUGCCAUAAAGCAUUGUUAAUAAUAAAAUGACAACCUUUUGCCAGCUGAGCAUUUGCACAUUGCCUGGAGGAUAUGGAGAGAGAGAGACCUGGAAGCUGAAGGAACAGAUAUCCAUUAUUAUUUAUGAAGAAAAUCCCAAGAAAUUCACAAAAGAAAAAUAAACUCUCCUAGAACUAAGUGAGCUCAUCAGAGUCACAGGAUACAGAUGGGCACACAAAAAUCAAUCACAAUUGCAUUUUUCUAUAUAUUUAUGUGUCAUGUGAUGUCAGGGAUAUGUUCUGAGACAUGCGUUUUGCUGUCAUGUGACCAUAGAGUAUACUUACACAAACCUAGAUAGUAUGGCCUACUACAUAUCUAGGCAAUACGAUAUAGCCUCCUGCUCCUAGGCAACAAACCCAUGCAGUUUGUUACUGUACUGAGUAUUGUAGGCAUAAUGCUAAGCAUUUGUGUAUCUAAACAUAGAAAAGGUACAGUAAAAAUAUGGUAUAAAAAUUUUGAAAAAUGAUAUAUCUGUAUGGGGCACUGACCACGAAUGACCUGGAAGGUCUUCGUGGACAAUAUGUCCAUGCAGCUGUGUCAUCUCCUAUAAUAACACCACCUCCUGCUGGAAUACCUCCUGAAGAACCUGCUUGAGGCUGUUUAAAAUGGUUAACUUUUUUUAUUUUUAAUAUAUAUGUAGAAGCAGACUCUAAAAUAAUGACAAAAGUAUGGUGUAGUAAAUGCAUAAACCAGAAACAUGGUCAUUUAUUAUCAGUAUUAAGUAUUAUGUACUGUAUAAAAUUGUACUGCUAUACUUUUAUACUACUACUAACACAGUAGGUUUGUUUACACCAGCAUCACCACAAACACAUAAGUAAUGCAUUGGGCUAGGACAUUAAGAUAGCUUGUCACCUAUUCUAUCAAUAUGUGAUAAAAAUUUUUCAGUUCCAUUUUAAUCUUAUGGAACCACUGCUGUCUAUGCGGCCUGUCGUUGACCCAAAUGUCAUUAUGUAGUGCAUAACUGUACUAAUACUAAGAAAAACUGAGUGUUUGUAUUUUAGAGUUAAGCACUGAUACGUUUACAAAUAAAAUAAUAUCUGACGUUUGUUUCAAAGGAAUCUGGAUAAGAGGAUAUGGUAAGAACAUAUAUGAAGUAAGAUUGACCAUGGGUUAAUAAUGUUUGAAGCUAAGUGGUAAAUAAUCUUUGUCCCAACCUUUGUGCAUAGUGGUUCUCAAAGAUGAUCCCUGCACUGGCAGCAACAGGAUCAUUUGAGAUCUUGUUUGAAAAGCAAACUCUGAGGAAACCACAUAUUUUGUAACCAAAACUCUGCACAUGAGGCCCAUUAGCCUGUGGUUUCACAAGCCCUUUAGGUAAUUUUGAUCCAAGCUAAUGUUUCUGAAUCACUGCUCCAGUAUAAAUAACAUAGAAUAUUGCAUGUAUUUGUAGAGACAUGACAUUUGUAUAUUUUUAAGUUAUCCAUAAUACAACGAAAAAUAAUGAAAACACCCAGGACAAAUGUUUCACUGGAAAAAUUUGAAUAAAGUUUGCAGACAUAAUUCUAAUCUUAAACACUUCCAAAAGACAGAAAAGGAUCUAUUCCCCAACCCAGUCUGAGAGUAGAAAAUCUUAGCCCUGGAAGUGAACAAAGAGUAUGAAAGAACUAUUAAAGCCAGUCUCACUUAUGAACAAAAGAUCCAGUAAUCUUAAGAAGUUAAGUAAAUCUAGCAUUAUGUAAAAAUAAUAAAAAUACAUCAGAACGAAGUUGUAUUUAUCCUAGAAAAUGAAAGUUGAUUUAACAUUAGAAACACUUUAAAAAGCAGGGAGGAUUAAAGGAGUUUGUUUAUUCUUAAUAUAUUCUGUUUGUUUAUUUCAGUGUUUUUAUAUGAGUAUCCUUAAAUUUUUAAACUGUGUUAAGAUGCAUGCUUAUACUUGUUUUACUUUUCUGACUGGAAGAUAAACCUAAAUAAAGGUUGUGAAAAAGAUCUUUAAAUAUUACAUUUAUUCUUGAAAUUCUUGUUAACUUUUAUAAUUGAUAGUUGAUAAACAAUUAGGAAGCAUAAGGCACAAUUCUAAUAAUUCUGCAACUUCCCCCUAGAUAUUCUUGAAAUGCUUAUAUCCAUUGGAAUCUGACAUUUAAAAAGUUCAAGAUUUUCAAUAAUUUAAUACACAAACGCUUAAAAGAGUAAAUAUAGUUGUGAUUAAGAGAAGUUUGGCAUUUAAAAAUCAUAGCAAACUGAAACUUUUCAUCUUUUCAUUUGUAACACAAAAUAUUAACUUAAAUGAUUUGAUUUUUCUUUUUCUUUUUCUUUUUUCUUUCUUUCUUUUUUUUCUUUUUCUUUUUUUCUUUUUUUUUCUGGGAUUACAGGCACAUGCCAUCACGCCUAGCUAAUUUUUGUAUUUUUAGUACAGACGGGAUUUCACCAUGUUGGCCGGGAUGGUCUCGAUCUCCUAACUCGUGAUCCUCCCGCCCCCGCCGGCCUUGCCUGGGUUUACAGGCGUGAGCCAUCUUGCCCGGCUGGUUUGAUUUUUCAAUAAAAAUGCAAUAAUUAUAAAUAAGGAAUAAAAAGAGUGUCUGUAUUAUAAAAUAUAAUAACUUUUAUUUUGCCUUUCGAUAUCCCUUUGGUUUCAAAACCAAAUGUAAUAUAAACUGUCAAUUUAAAAUUGAUUUAUUAACAAAUUAUUAUUUCCUUAUGUAAACAUUUAAUUAUUACACAUCUCUGUUAUUAAAUGGAAAAAGUUGAAGAUUGUAUGAAUAUUAUAGUUUAUGCAUGUUAUACAAUUAAAUACAUUAUAUAUAGUUUAAUAAAAUGGUAACCCCAAAUUUUAGAAAUAU
rnacentral:lncRNA from 1 species